CCGCGAAACUGCGAAUGGCUCAUUAUAUAAGUUAUCGUUUAUUUGAUAAUACUUUACUACUUGGAUAACCGUGGUAAUUCUAGAGCUAAUACAUGCUGAAAAUCCCGACUUCGGAAGGGAUGUAUUUAUUAGAUUAAAAACCAAUGCCCCUCGGGGCUCUCUGGUGAAUCAUGAUAACUAGUCGAAUCGACAGGCCUUGUGCCGGCGAUGGCUCAUUCAAAUUUCUUCCCUAUCAACUUUCGAUGUUUGGGUAUUGGCCAAACAUGGUGGCAACGGGUAACGGAGGGUUAGGGCUCGACCCCGGAGAAGGAGCCUGAGAAACGGCUACUACAUCCAAGGAAGGCAGCAGGCGCGCAAAUUACCCAAUCCCGACACGGGGAGGUAGUGACAAUAAAUACUGAUACAGGGCUCUUUUGGGUCUUGUAAUCGGAAUGAGUACAAUUUAAAUCCCUUAACGAGGAACAAUUGGAGGGCAAGUCUGGUGCCAGCAGCCGCGGUAAUUCCAGCUCCAAUAGCGUAUAUUAAAGUUGUUGUGGUUAAAAAGCUCGUAGUUGAACCUUGGGCCUGGCUGGCCGGUCCGCCUCACCGCGUGCACUGGUCCGGCCGGGCCUUUCCCUCUGCGGAACCCCAUGCCCUUCACUGGGUGUGGCGGGGAAACAGGACUUUUACUUUGAAAAAAUUAGAGUGCUCAAGGCAGGCCUAUGCUCGAAUACAUUAGCAUGGAAUAAUAGAAUAGGACGUGUGGUUCUAUUUUGUUGGUUUCUAGGACCGCCGUAAUGAUUAAUAGGGACAGUCGGGGGCAUCAGUAUUCAAUUGUCAGAGGUGAAAUUCUUGGAUUUAUUGAAGACUAACUACUGCGAAAGCAUUUGCCAAGGAUGUUUUCAUUAAUCAGGAACGAAAGUUAGGGGAUCGAAGACGAUCAGAUACCGUCGUAGUCUUAACCAUAAACUAUGCCGACUAGGGAUCGGACGAUGUUACAUUUUUGACGCGUUCGGCACCUUACGAGAAAUCAAAGUGCUG
rnacentral:rRNA from 1 species